UUUGUUGGUCCAGGACUCCAGCCUAUAGGAUGCAGCUGCCCCAUCUCACUUGCACCUGUCUUGGAAUACCAUCCUAGAGUGCCUGAGAUGCAGCAGCCACUCAGUGAAAACAUUCAUAGAACAAGUAAAUCACGUAUCAACACAGAGACACUGGAUGGCCCCUGCCAGAAAAUCUCCUUGACUUCACAGUGGACCAGUGAUGUAAGAAUUGUUUUUUCUGUCCUUAAAGAUAGGAGCCUGGCAUAACUGUCCUCUGAGAGACUCCACCCAGCAGUUGACUGCAACAGACUCAGAGACCCACAGCCAAUAAUUUAGAGGUCAGAGACCCUUAUGGAAGAGUUGGGAGAAGGAAUGAAGGACCUGAAGGGGAUGGAAACCCCACAGGAAGACCAACAGAGUCAACUAACCUGGACCUGGGAGCUCUUGGAGACUGAGCCACCAACCAAAGAACACACAUGGGCUGGAACCAGAUCCCUAGCACAUAUGUAGCAGACGUGCAGUUCAGCUCCUCUCUGGGUCCCCCAACAACUGGAGCAGAAGCUCUCCCUAAAGCUGUAGCCUGACUGUGGUUUCCAUUCCCAAUCAGGGCUGCCUUGUCUGGCCUCAGUCAGAGAGGAUGCCCAUACUCUGGCAGAGACUUGAUGCAUGGGAGGGUAAGGGUGGCAGGGGGUACCCAGGGGGACCCCACCCUCUCAGAGGAGAAGGGAAUGGGGAAUUG